rnacentral:rRNA from 1 species
GCAAGUCGAGCGCUCACCUUCGGGUGGGAGCGGCGGACGGGUUAGUAACGCGUGGGAACAUACCCAUCUCUAAGGAAUAGCCUCUGGAAACGGAGAGUAAUACCUUAUACGCCCUUCGGGGGAAAGAUUUAUCGGAGAUGGAUUGGCCCGCGUUAGAUUAGAUAGUUGGUGGGGUAACGGCCUACCAAGUCUACGAUCUAUAGCUGGUUUGAGAGGAUGAUC